UCCCUGGUGGUCCAAUGGUUAGGACUCAGCGCUCUCAGUGCUGAGGGCGCAGGUUCAAUCCCUGCUUGGGGAA